rnacentral:misc_RNA from 1 species
AUUGAUUCAAAAGCUUUAAAUAAAUAAACCUUUAGCUGGCUCCAACUUGCUUAGAGUUGAGGUGUAGUAGUUGUUGUCUUAGAUAUUUAUGUUUCCACAUGAACAAGAAGCAACACUGAGUAUAUUACCUACUAAUCAAGGGCCAUAUGGUCUGAUGCUGCAGCAUGAUACCCCUCAAUUGUUUGUUUCAUAUUGUCGAACUGAGAAAUCACAUAAUCGAGUUUCUUGCAACAGAUCUCAUUUGAUAUUCUUGGUACAUAGUCACACUUCUCAAAAGGACGAUAUUCACAUGCACUUUUGAUUUCUUCUCGCAGUGUGACUUGGAUGUCCUUGAUUAGUUGCAUGAACUCACUACAAUGGUUGUUAAUAAGCUCCUUCCUGGGGCCGCUCGGAUUUGCCAUUUCAUCCAUUACACCUCCUGCUAGCUCCAGAACUCUG